GCCCUGAUGGUGUAGUCCGGUCAAUCAUUCAGCCUUCUCAAGGCUGGGACCUGGGUUCGAAUCCCGGUCGGGGCACCA
rnacentral:tRNA from 1 species